rnacentral:rRNA from 1 species
GGUGCGUAGGCGGCCUAUUAAGUCAGGGGUGAAAGACGGUAGCUUAACUAUCGCAGUGCCUUUGAUACUGAUGGGCUUGAAUACACUAGAGGUAGGCGGAAUGUGACAAGUAGCGGUGAAAUGCAUAGAUAUGUCACAGAACACCAAUUGCGAAGGCAGCUUACUAUGGUGUGAUUGACGCUGAGGCACGAAAGCGUGGGGAUCAAACAGGAUUAGAUACCCUGGUAGUCCACGCCCUAAACGAUGAACACUCGAUGUUAGCGAUAUACAGUUAGCGUCUAAGCGAAAGCGUUAAGUGUUCCACCUGGGGAGUACGCCCGCAAGGGUGAAACUCAAAGGAAUUGA